rnacentral:rRNA from 1 species
AGAUUGAACGCUGGCGGAAUGCUUUACACAUGCAAGUCGAGCGGCAGCGCGGGGCAACCUGGCGGCGAGCGGCGAACGGGUGAGUAAUGCAUCGGAACAUGUCCAUUCGUGGGGGAUAGCCCGGCGAAAGCCGGAUUAAUACCGCAUACGCCCUUAGGGGGAAAGCCGGGGACCGCAAGGCCUGGCGCGAAUGGGUUGGCCGAUGCCCGAUUAGCUAGUUGGCGGGGUAAAAGCCCACCAAGGCUUCGAUCAGUAGCUGGUCUGAGAGGACGACCAGCCACACUGGGACUGAGACACGGCCCAGACUCCUACGGGAGGCAGCAGUGGGAAUUUGGACAAUGGGCGCAAGCCUGAUCCAGCCAUGCCGCGUGCGGGAAGAAGGCCUUCGGGUUGUAAACCGCGUUUUUGGCGAGGAACGAAACGGCGACGAGCGAAUAGUCUCGCGUUAAUGACGGUACCUGCAAGAAUAAGACACCGGCUAACUACGU